AACGUAGGAGACAAACGUUAUCCGGAGUUACUGGGCGUAAAGGGCGUGUAGGCGGUCUGUUAAGUCUGGCGUGAAAGCUCUCGGCUAAACCGGGAGAGGUCGUUGGAUACUGGCAGACUAGAGGACGGUAGAGGCGUGUGGAAUUCCAGGUGUAGCGGUGAAAUGCGUAGAUAUCUGGAGGAAUACCGGUGGCGAAGGCGGCAUCCUGGACCAUAACUGACGCUGAGGCG
rnacentral:rRNA from 1 species